rnacentral:rRNA from 1 species
UACGGAGGGAGCUAGCGUUAUUCGGAAUUACUGGGCGUAAAGCGCACGUAGGCGGCUUUGUAAGUAAGAGGUGAAAGCCUGGUGCUCAACACCAGAACUGCCUUUUAGACUGCAUCGCUUGAAUCAUGGAGAGGUGAGUGGAAUUCCGAGUGUAGAGGUGAAAUUCGUAGAUAUCGGGAGGAACACCAGUGGCGAAGGCGGCGACCUGGACAGAUAUUGACGCUGAGGUGCGAAAGCGUGGGGAGCAAACAGG